AUUUAAGUAGCUUAAUUUAAAGCUUAAUAUUGAAGAUAUUAUGAUAGGGUUUACCUUCUUAAAUA
rnacentral:tRNA from 1 species